ACGUAGGGGGCAAGCGUUGUCCGGAAUUACUGGGCGUAAAGCGCACGCAGGCGGUUCGUUAAGUCGGAUGUGAAAGCCUUCGGCUCAACCGCGGAUUUGCAUCGGAAACUGGGAAACUGGAGUGCAGAAGAGGAAAGUGGAACUCCAGGUGUAGCGGUGAAAUGCGUAGAUAUCGGGAGGAACACCAGUGGCGAAGGCGGCUUCCUGGCCGGCAACUGACGCUCAUGUGCGAAAGCUGGGGUAGCAAACGG
rnacentral:rRNA from 1 species